AUUGAACGCUGGCGGCAGGCCUAACACAUGCAAGUCGAGCGAGCGGCGGACGGGUGAGUAAUGUAUGGGGACUGCCCGAUAGAGGGGGAUAACUAAUGGCAACGGUGGCUAAUCCCGCAUACUAUCGGAUAACCCAUAUGGGAUUCGCUAGUAGGUGGGGUAAAGGCUCACCUAGGCGACGAUCUCUAUCUGGUCUUAGAGGAUGAUAAGCCACACUGGGACUGAGACACGGUCCAGACUCCUACGGAGGCAGCAGUGGGGAAUAUUGCACAAUGGGCGCAAGCCGGAUGCUGCAAUGCCGCGUGGAUGAAGAAGGCCUUAGGGUUGUAAAGUACUUUCAGCGGUGAGGCGUUACCCGCAGAAGAAGCACCGGCUAACACCGUGCCAGCCGCCGCGGUAAUAC
rnacentral:rRNA from 1 species